rnacentral:rRNA from 1 species
UACGGGGGGGGCAAGCGUUGUUCGGAAUUACUGGGCGUAAAGGGCUCGUAGGCGGGUCUUUAAGUCAGGGGUGAAAUCCUGGAGCUCAACUCCAGAACUGCCUUUGAUACUGAAGAUCUUGAGUUCGGGAGAGGUGAGUGGAACUGCGAGUGUAGAGGUGAAAUUCGUAGAUAUUCGCAAGAACACCAGUGGCGAAGGCGGCUCACUGGCCCGAUACUGACGCUGAGGCACGAAAGCGUGGGGAGCAAACAGG